GUGAUGUAACAAUUGCAAUAAAAAUCUACAACUAUAUUCUUCAUGCAAUUACCUGGAGUAUCGCUUAUUUUUUCGAGAGGUGUCCUCAGACCAAAACUAAAUUGCGGGCUAUACGUGCCAGGUGCUAUAAAAAUAAAUUGACAUGUGCUGGUGAUACUACAAUUCGUAAAUAAUGUACAUUACAUAUUAUCACAUACAAAGUUACACGGCUGUGAUAAUAAAUUCGUGAUUAUUAUUUUGUCGACCGAACAAAUGUACAGCAAGUCAUGAAUUUGCAAUAAAAUUAAUUAGGUUUCAAUAAGUUAUUUAACAAUAAUUG